CAUUUCAUGUUGGAUGUGCAUUAUGCGUUUCUGAUUUUAAAAUGAUGUUUGUUUUGUGUAGAGUUAUUUACACUGGCUGCUUGCUUGCCCUGAACCCGUGAAGUUAGAAUGGAAUAUAGGUUGGUCACCUCAAUAUGAAAGGGAUAUGCUGAUUCUGUUUAGGCUGAUGUGUUUUAUCAAUCUAAUCUAUUAAAUGUAUUCCAUUGUGCUUUGACAUUGUAAAAGUAAAGGACCCCCGGACAGUUACCGUAUUUUUCGCUCUAUAGGACGCACUUUUUCCCCUCCAAAAAUGAAGGGGAAAUGUGUGUGCGUCCUAUGGAGCGAAUGCAGGCUUUCCGGGCUUCCUGCAGCUCCGCGCCACCCUCCGGAUCCCGGCGCGAGGCCGCGCGGGCUCCGGAGGGUAGCGCGGAGCUGCCUGAGCUCCAGGGCUUCUUGCAGCUCCGCGCCACCCUCCGGAUCCCGGCGCGGCUUCGCUCCAGAGGGUGGCGCGGAGCUGCCUGCGCCCCAGGGCUUCCUGCAGCUCCGCGCCACCCUCCCGAUCCCGGCGCGAAGCCGCGCAGGGCUCCGGAGGGUGGCGCGGGCUGCCUGAGCUCGCGCCUGCCCGCGGUCCGGAGGGUGGCGCGUGCCUGCGCCCAGGGCUCUGCAGCGCCACCCUCCCGAUCCCGGCGUGAGCCGCGCGGGGCUCGGGAGGGUGGCGCGGAGCUGCCUGCAUUCCGAGCCUGGUGCGCACUGAAGAGCGCGCCCGGGCUCGCGCACCUCUCCACACGCCUGGGGACCGGCUCGGUUCCCUAGGCUUGCGGAUAGCAGGCUGUUCUGGGGGCUGGGGUCGGGGGAAGCUCGGGCUUCCCCCGCGCCUGCCCCGUGCCUGGGGAGGGAAUUUUUUUCUUUAUUUCCCCCCCCCCAAAAAAAAUAGGUACCUUGAACGCACCUUGUUUUAGAGGGAGAGAACAAGAAAAAUUUUUUUUUCCCUGUUCUCCCCCUCCUAUGAUCCGGUGCGUCCUAUGGUCCGGUGCGUCCAAUGGUGCGAAAAAUACGGUAAGUCCAGUCAAAGACAACUAUGAGGUUGCGGCACUCAUCUCGCUUUCAGGCCGAAGGAGCCAGCAUUUGUCCACAGACAGCUUUUUGGGUCAUGUGGCCAGUAGGACUAAACUACUUCUGGUGCAAUGGGACACCGUGACAGAAGCCAGAGUGCACAGAAACAGUGUUUACCUUCCCACUGCAAUGGUACCUAUUUAUCUACUUGCACUGGCAUACUUUCAAACUGCUAGAAACUGGGACAGAGCAACAAGAGCUCACCCCGUUGUGCGGAUUCAAACUGCUGACCUUUUGAUCAGCAAGCCCAAGAGGUUCAGUGGUUUAGACCACAGCACAACCCGUGUCCCAUUGACAUUGUAUCCUGCUUUGG